AACGAGUAGAAGCAGGAGCUGAGGGUGCUGGUCCUGGCUCGCCCGCUUGCCCAGCUACAAGUUGGAGUGGUGCAGCAGGUUCAGGAGGACUUCCUCCUCUCGGAUGCUGGGGACAACAACGAGUACAACAGAUAGGGUGAGAACCCCAGCUAUCUUAGUAUGGUGGAAUAGACCAAAGCGGCAGCGAUGGCAAUGAUCCACAGCUCCAGCUCCAGUUUCAGGAGAGCAACUUUCUCCACUUGGACUACGCCGGAGACAAGAACGACUCGUAGUAAGGUUCAGAUCAUACCGGGGUUGAAUAGCACCAAGCCGGGCGUACCAGGAGGCGGUGUUGGAGGGUGGAGCAGGACUCCACUUGUGCAUUUAUGUCUCUGAUUUUGCUGCAUGCAUAGAUUUUCUUGCUGCCACUUUUCCUGAAUAUGGAUGGCGCCUGGGCUGGCUACUGUUGCUUAGGCUCUCAUACGAUGGACUUAGAAUGCUAACCGUCGCCACAUGCCGGUGAGUCCCACAUCCUCCUGGACCUGCCCGGUUCCUUUUGCUAAUUAAAGGCUGCGCCUUCUUCAUUUUCUAUGCGGUGAAAUAUAAAACCCUAGCUUAACUUGUCUGCUCUAUGUAGAAGAUUCAGGAUUGGGGUGCAGUGGUGAUGGUAGAGCCACUACCAGCAGCAGCAGUGAUGGUGCUGUGUAUGAAGGUCCAGAGUGGCGCCUUGGUAUAGGAUGACGACUUCCUCCUCCACUAAGAUGCAUGCAACCGCCACCUGGGACAGGAACGAACCACUAGGUGCCUCCUGCUGCCUACCGUUUACUGACUGAUUGUUCCUUCGUUGUCCGUUGUGCACCACAAUCGUUUGGUUGUGAAGUUACCUUGUUGUUUGCAGGCUGUGUUGAGUGUGUGGUUUUGGUAUACUUAAGUUCAUACAUUUCUUUUGGUACAUAAAUGGGAUUGUUCCUGCUUAAGUGUAUGUGUAAAAUUGACACUAGCAGUUUAUUUAUCUUGUGAACAAGAACCUGGAUUCUAAUUCUGGAGCAAAACAUGCUGUACAUGAUAAUCCUAGAUUCCGUGGUUGGCAGCAGCUACAUUUGUGUCUUCUUCUUGUGAGUAAAUUUACCCUGCAUACUUGUUUUCAAAGGCAGUAGCACUUGUAUUUCUAGAUACAUUAACACUUUGGGUAUUCUGCUCUAAUUAUUCUCUUCAUCAUCCGUGACAACAUAAUUUCUUGCUUCCUCUUGUCCUUAAUUUGGAGCAUGCCUUGGAGCUUAAAGUAUGUAGUAGUCGGUUCGGGUUGACUUCCUCCACUCAGACGCCAUUGGGGACAAUAAACUAUGCGAGGUACCUCCUUGCUCCCGCUGCCUUCUCUAAAAAAAUCAUGGUAGUUGUUCGGUUGAUGCUCUUGGAAAUAUGCUAAGUUCCCUGAAACUGAGUCCUAAUAACUUGAUGGUGAUAUGACAUGCAUAUUGACUAGACGCACUGACAUCUGUUGAUUGGAUCAUGCUUCGUUACCUCUCAUUAUGUUGCCUAGAAGUUUUCUUAUGCAAUGUGGAUGGUACUGAUGUCAAUGAAAGUUAAGCAAUCUCGAUAUUUUUUUGACUGAAAAGUUCUUUGUUUGACAGCCUGUACUGUUUGGUUUAUUUAAGUAGUUGACAUUAAUUGUUUGUCUUAAAUUUAUUUGCAUUUCUUGUCCUUUUAUACAAUGGUGUUUACUGGCUAGCAUUUUGGUUGCACUAAUUUCUUUAUGCAGAAUUAACCCUGAUGCGUAUGUAUAAAUCUAGCCCUAUGUAGCUUUAUAAACUGGUACUAUUGGUUUCUCUUUCUCUCUUGAUGCGUCCCUAUGUUUGUUUGGCUUCUAUUUUCGUAUGCUAAGUAUCUCUUUUAUCCGGGCUGGGCCUAUGGGCGUGCGACCCGCAUUAUGGGCUUGAUGAUUGAAAUGAAAUGGCCUUACUGCCAUGUGGCCGUGGCUUCUGAAAUUCGAUUUUUGUGGCAUCUUGGCAUAACAUGGUUUAGUUGGAUUCCAACAUGAAAACUAAACCUCAAUAUAUUUGAAGCGUUGCCUUUAUGUAAUUUGGAGCGCAGUUUUACUUUAGAGGGGUCAAUAGUUGUUUACUUUGUGCUGGCUAGAUCUUAUUGCAUUGCCUUGUAUUGGGUAUGAAUGAUCUUGAUAAAAUAGGAGCGCUUUUACUUGUCAACACUCUGAACCUUGACCGAAUUUCUUGUCUUUGUUUGUUAUUAUGGAUUUUAGGUGAAGAAGAAAAGAGCAAGUACUUCAUCCAUGCAGUUCUGUACUAGUAGAAAUUAAGGCCUAAGAUAAUUUACCCUCUAGGCAUCAAGACGUAGGCUGAAAGGAGAGGACGUUGGAGCUGGGCCAAGGCAGCAGAGCCGUUGGUUUGAGGCUGAAGUUGGUUGAGGGCCACCUGGAGAAGCGGUGCAAGUCAGCCAUCGUGCUGGUGCUCAAAUACGAGAGCACAAACAAGUGCGUUUUCGAUGCCCACAUGGCGGUGGUGAAGCAGUUCACGUGGGAGGGAGUGUAGGGAAAGUAGGAGUUCCUGGUGGAGGUGUAGAUGCUGACGGUGCUCACCCACCGGGACCUUGUCAGCCUGGUCGGGAGAGGUUUGCUCGUUUGUGAGUACAUGCAGUUCGACAUCCAGGAGAGACAUCUUU